GAUGAACGCUAGCGGCAGGCUUAAUACAUGCAAGUCGUGGGGCAGCAUGAGUGUAGCAAUACAUUUGAUGGCGACCGGCAAACGGGUGCGGAACACGUACACAACCUUCCUAUAAGUGGGGAAUAGCCCAGAGAAAUUUGGAUUAAUACCCCGUAACAUAAUGAUGUGGCAUCACAUUAUUAUUAUAGCUUCGGCGCUUAUUGAUGGGUGUGCGGCUGAUUAGAUAGUUGGCGGGGUAACGGCCCACCAAGUCUACGAUCAGUAGCUGAUGUGAGAGCAUGAUCAGCCACACGGGCACUGAGACACGGGCCCGACCCCUACGGGAGGCAGCAGUAAGGAAUAUUGGUCAAUGGACGCAAGUCUGAACCAGCCAUGCCGCGUGAAGGAUUAAGGUCCUCUGGAUUGUAAACUUCUUUUAUCUGGGACGAAAAAAGGCGAUUCUUCGUCACUUGACGGUACCAGAUGAAUAAGCACCGGCUAACUCCGUGCCAGCUGCCGCAGUAAUAC
rnacentral:rRNA from 1 species